ACCGCUUCUCGGCCUUUUGGCUAAGAUCAAGUGUAGUAUCUGUUUCUUAUCAGUUUAAUAUCUGAUAAAUUCCCUACCCGAGGGACCAUAUAUUAAAUUGAUUUUUGGAACUGGAGAUGAAAAAGGGAGCUUGCCCGUCCACUCCUCACGCAUCGACCUGGUAUUGCAGUACCUCCAGGACGAUUGCACCCCUC
ensembl:snRNA U2 U2 spliceosomal RNA